rnacentral:rRNA from 1 species
CGCUAGCGGUGUGCCUAAUGCAUGCAAGUCGGACGGGAUCCUUAGAUUCGUCUGAGGUGAGAGUGGCGAACGGGUGAGUAACACGUUGGUGACCUACCCCAAAGAGAGGGAUAACUAUUGGAAACGAUGGCUAAUACCUCGGAUGUAUUACUAUUUAGAAAGGUAAUACUAAAGCUCCGGCGCUUUGGGAGGGGCCUGCGGUCCAUCAGCUAGUUGGUAAGGUAAUGGCUUACCAAGGCAAAGACGGAUAGGGGGCGUGAGAGCGUGACCCCCCACACUGGUACUGAGACACGGACCAGAUACCUGCGGGUAGCAGCAGCAAGGAAUAUUGCGCAAUCGACGAAAGUCGGACGCAGCAACACCGCGUGAAGGAUGAAGGCCUUCGGGUCGUAAACUUCUUUUCUGGGGGAAGAGAAAGGACGGUACCCCAGGAAUAAGUCUCGGCUAACUACGUGCCAGCAGCCGCGGUAAAACGUAGGAGGCGAGCGUUAUCCGGAUUUAUUGGGCGUAAAGCGCAUGCAGGCGGUUUACAAAGUCGGACGUGAAAGCUCUUGGCUCAACUGAGAGAGGCCGUUCGAAACUGGUAGACUUGAGGAUGGUAGAGGUGAGUGGAAUUCCAGGUGUAGUGGUGAAAUGCGUAGAUAUCUGGAGGAACACCAGUGGCGAAGCGGCUCACUGGGCCAUUCCUGACGCUCAGAUGC